GCCGAAUGCGCCCGCACAGCGAGUCGCAGCCCUGAGGUGGUGGGAGGGGACAGCGACGGGGCACGGAGCAGCACCGGGAUAGGAAAGGAAUAACCCCGGGGUAGGUCAGGAAUACCGCUGGGGCACCGCCAGGAUAGGUCAGGGGCACCUCAGGGAUGGGACGUGGAAGAGCUCCGGCGAAGACAAGAGGUCACAGCUGGAUAGGGCAAAUGGCAACACCGGCUGGCCCACCGGCACUUCUGGGAACUGGGCAGGGGACAUCGGAUGGCCAGAGCAGGGGUUACCAGUGGGACUGAGCAGAUGGUAGCGCAGGGACGGAACACCCGAGACAGAGCACGGGACAUCACCGGGGUGAGAAUUAAGAAAAGAAUCUGCGGGAGAAGAUAAAUGCCAUCAUGUCGGGAUAUUUUUGAGCAUCCAAAGGUUGAACAAUCCGAGGUCCGGGAGGUGAUGUACAUGGAUGAUGGAGUUACGGGAACCGGCAUUGAGAUGCAUCCCCUGGAGAUUCCAGCGAUUCCAAUCUCAGCUACCUGGGAAAGCUACAACAGCGGAGGAGCUGGUGAAACAGAAGAUAAAGUAACAACUGAUUGAGCAGCAAAGGUCUGAAGCAAUGACUGCAAAAAGGGGAGGCAAAUAUUUACACCAAACGAUGAGGAGAAAACAUGCACAUUGCUAAGUAAAGUUUGGAUGCAGCCAGUUUCUGGGAACAAUUUAUUAAAGCUCCUCUGGAACAGGAGAAAUGUGUAGAACUGUAUAGAAAUGUACAGAAAGGAUUAUGCUAAUUUACCUUUUAAAUAAAGGAGCAAUCUCAUCAAUGCAA